rnacentral:lncRNA from 1 species
AAAAUAGUUAGGCUAAGUGCAUGCUGCACAGAACAAAAAUUGCAUUCAAGGUUGGAAGACUUAAUUGAUGUGCGUGUAGAAAAUAUACAAAAACAAAAAAAAAAAACGUGGUGAAAAUUUUGCAAAACCAUAAAAGGGAACAUAAACCAAAUAAAAACCAAUAUAAAAGUGUUGUGGCUGCAAAGACGAAAACUUAAAAACCAACCCCUGGAUAAGGUACGCCAAGAAAAAAAUGAAAAAGUGACCUUAUUACAUAAUUCCAUGUAUGUACUGUACAUAGGUUAUGAUCCACGUGUGGCAGGAAAUUGCUGACCUGGCCUGACCCUCGGUCUCGGAGGGGGGGUCCGCUCCAGUACCACGAUCAUCCGUCCCUCUUUUUGGUGCCACCGGACCUUGCCUGCAGGCGAAAAAACGGAUGGACUUGGCGAUCGGGACCGAGUUGUUUAUAUACAUAUAUCUCACGCGCAACUAUAAAACCAUCUAUUAUAUUAUAUCACCGCGCCUUGUGUAAAGAAAUGUUGGUGCUUGCAUAUGUAGGGUGUGGAAAAAUUAGCUCAGCGGUCAUUGCCCUUGCGGCUGACCAUACACCUAUGCGCACUUAAAUAGACCCACCUGACCGUAUGUCACCUAUUCUCUCCUUCUCUCAGGUUAUUAAAACUGUUCGAUGCCGACAUUCUAAAAGCCACUUAAGGGAAGAAAAGUAAAUCACAAAAAUCUAGAAAAGAAAACUUAAUGAAAAAUUAUGAAUAGAAGAAAAAAAAUAGAAAAGAAAAUUGUU